ACACAUGCAAGUCGAACGAUGAACCUCCUUCGGGAGGGGAUUAGUGGCGAACGGGUGAGUAACACGUGGGCAAUCUGCCCUUCACUCUGGGACAAGCCCUGGAAACGGGGUCUAAUACCGGAUAACACUGCGGAUCGCAUGGUCUGCGGUUAAAAGCUCCGGCGGUGAAGGAUGAGCCCGCGGCCUAUCAGCUAGUUGGUGGGGUAAUGGCCUACCAAGGCGACGACGGGUAGCCGGCCUGAGAGGGCGACCGGCCACACUGGGACUGAGACACGGCCCAGACUCCUACGGGAGGCAGCAGUGGGGAAUAUUGCACAAUGGGCGAAAGCCUGAUGCAGCGACGCCGCGUGAGGGAUGACGGCCUUCGGGUUGUAAACCUCUUUCAGCAGGGAAGAAGCGAAAGUGACGGUACCUGCAGAAGAAGCGCCGGCUAACUACGUGCCAGCAGCCGCGGUAAUACGUAGGGCGCAAGCGUUGUCCGGAAUUAUUGGGCGUAAAGAGCUCGUAGGCGGCUUGUCACGUCGGAUGUGAAAGCCCGGGGCUUAACCCCGGGUCUGCAUUCGAUACGGGCAGGCUAGAGUGUGGUAGGGGAGAUCGGAAUUCCUGGUGUAGCGGUGAAAUGCGCAGAUAUCAGGAGGAACACCGGUGGCGAAGGCGGAUCUCUGGGCCAUUACUGACGCUGAGGAGCGAAAGCGUGGGGAGCGAACAGGAUUAGAUACCCUGGUAGUCCACGCCGUAAACGUUGGGAACUAGGUGUUGGCGACAUUCCACGUCGUCGGUGCCGCAGCUAACGCAUUAAGUUCCCCGCCUGGGGAGUACGGCCGCAAGGCUAAAACUCAAAGGAAUUGACGGGGGCCCGCACAAGCAGCGGAGCAUGUGGCUUAAUUCGACGCAACGCGAAGAACCUUACCAAGGCUUGACAUCGCCCGGAAAGCAUCAGAGAUGGUGCCCCCCUUGUGGUCGGGUGACAGGUGGUGCAUGGCUGUCGUCAGCUCGUGUCGUGAGAUGUUGGGUUAAGUCCCGCAACGAGCGCAACCCUUGUUCUGUGUUGCCAGCAUGCCCUUCGGGGUGAUGGGGACUCACAGGAGACUGCCGGGGUCAACUCGGAGGAAGGUGGGGACGACGUCAAGUCAUCAUGCCCCUUAUGUCUUGGGCUGCACACGUGCUACAAUGGCCGGUACAAAGAGCUGCGAAGCCGCGAGGCGGAGCGAAUCUCAAAAAGCCGGUCUCAGUUCGGAUUGGGGUCUGCAACUCGACCCCAUGAAGUCGGAGUUGCUAGUAAUCGCAGAUCAGCAUUGCUGCGGUGAAUACGUUCCCGGGCCUUGUACACACCGCCCGUCACGUCACGAAAGUCGGUAACACCCGAAGCCGGUGGCCCAACCCCUUGUGGGAGGGAGCUGUCGAAGGUGGGACUGGCGAUUGGGACGAAGUCGUAACAA
rnacentral:rRNA from 1 species